AUUCAAAAUUAAUCCGCACCUGUACUGUAAGAUACAUUCUUUAAACAGUGGUAAAAGAGGAUGUGGUGCUGAUCCUUCAAGAGUCACUCAAAACAUAUCUGUCCCUAAGCCUAUAAAGAAUUAUUCUUAAUAUACAGUUCACAAUACUUCAGCUUGUUAUUCUAAUUAAGUGAGGGUCAUUUUAUCAGUAAAAUACAUAAAAUUCAUAUUAUUUUUCUUUGAAAGAUUUCUAUAAAUGAUUUAAAUCAUUAUACUUGUUUCUACAAUAAUUAUUUAAAAGUAAUCCUAUAGCUCCAUCUGGUGGCCAUUAUUGGUACUAAGAAUUGCAAGCUUGAUUUAUAAGUUAUGAUAGUUUUAAUUUUAUGCUGGCUCUUGAAAAUGAUAAAGCUAUGAAACUUACUGUGCUUCCUUCAAAUGAGGACUUCUACUUAUAUAAAAAAUUAUGAAGAGUUAGAAUGAAAAAUUUUAAAGAUAUAGUAAAAUAACUAUGGUAUUUUUUAUGUUACUUUAAUAAAUCUCUAUGGCAACACCAUUUAAGCUAUCCUAAACCCAUUCACAAUUUAACAUCUCAGUAUAUUGGCAUAAUGUUGAAAAAGGAGUAUGGAGUAGUAUGAGGAGGAGUAUGAAUUCAUUUACAGGCUGAUUUUAUCAUAAAUCCACAAUAAAAUUUCUGAGUUCUGUA